rnacentral:rRNA from 1 species
GACGAACGCUGGCGGCGUGCUUAACACAUGCAAGUCGAACGAAGAGCGAUGGAAGCUUGCUUCUAUCAAUCUUAGUGGCGAACGGGUGAGUAACGCGUAAUCAACCUGCCCUUCAGAGGGGGACAACAGUUGGAAACGACUGCUAAUGCCGCAUACGAUCUGACCUCGGCAUCGAGGAUAGAUGAAAGGUGGCCUCUAUUUAUAAGCUAUCACUGAAGGAGGGGAUUGCGUCUGAUUAGCUAGUUGGAGGGGUAACGGCCCACCAAGGCGAUGAUCAGUAGCCGGUCUGAGAGGAUGAACGGCCACAUUGGGACUGAGACACGGCCCAGACUCCUACGGGAGGCAGCAGUGGGGAAUCUUCCGCAAUGGACGAAAGUCUGACGGAGCAACGCCGCGUGAGUGAUGACGGCCUUCGGGUUGUAAGGCUCUGUUAAUCGGGACGAAAGGCCUUCUUGCGAAUAGUUAGAAGGAUUGACGGUACCGGAAUAGAAAGCCACGGCUAACUACGUG